rnacentral:rRNA from 2 species
AAAUUGAAGAGUUUGAUCAUGGCUCAGAUUGAACGCUGGCGGCAGGCCUAACACAUGCAAGUCGAACGGUAACAGGAAGCAGCUUGCUGCUUUGCUGACGAGUGGCGGACGGGUGAGUAAUGUCUGGGAAACUGCCUGAUGGAGGGGGAUAACUACUGGAAACGGUGGCUAAUACCGCAUAACGUCGCAAGACCAAAGAGGGGGACCUUCGGGCCUCUUGCCAUCAGAUGUGCCCAGAUGGGAUUAGCUUGUUGGUGAGGUAACGGCUCACCAAGGCGACGAUCCCUAGCUGGUCUGAGAGGAUGACCAGCCACACUGGAACUGAGACACGGUCCAGACUCCUACGGGAGGCAGCAGUGGGGAAUAUUGCACAAUGGGCGCAAGCCUGAUGCAGCCAUGCCGCGUGUAUGAAGAAGGCCUUCGGGUUGUAAAGUACUUUCAGCGGGGAGGAAGGUGUUGUGGUUAAUAACCACAGCAAUUGACGUUACCCGCAGAAGAAGCACCGGCUAACUCCGUGCCAGCAGCCGCGGUAAUACGGAGGGUGCAAGCGUUAAUCGGAAUUACUGGGCGUAAAGCGCACGCAGGCGGUCUGUCAAGUCGGAUGUGAAAUCCCCGGGCUCAACCUGGGAACUGCAUUCGAAACUGGCAGGCUUGAGUCUUGUAGAGGGGGGUAGAAUUCCAGGUGUAGCGGUGAAAUGCGUAGAGAUCUGGAGGAAUACCGGUGGCGAAGGCGGCCCCCUGGACAAAGACUGACGCUCAGGUGCGAAAGCGUGGGGAGCAAACAGGAUUAGAUACCCUGGUAGUCCACGCCGUAAACGAUGUCUACUUGGAGGUUGUGCCCUUGAGGCGUGGCUUCCGGAGCUAACGCGUUAAGUAGACCGCCUGGGGAGUACGGCCGCAAGGUUAAAACUCAAAUGAAUUGACGGGGGCCCGCACAAGCGGUGGAGCAUGUGGUUUAAUUCGAUGCAACGCGAAGAACCUUACCUGGUCUUGACAUCCACGGAAGUUUUCAGAGAUGAGAAUGUGCCUUCGGGAACCGUGAGACAGGUGCUGCAUGGCUGUCGUCAGCUCGUGUUGUGAAAUGUUGGGUUAAGUCCCGCAACGAGCGCAACCCUUAUCCUUUGUUGCCAGCGAUUCGGUCGGGAACUCAAAGGAGACUGCCAGUGAUAAACUGGAGGAAGGUGGGGAUGACGUCAAGUCAUCAUGGCCCUUACGACCAGGGCUACACACGUGCUACAAUGGCGCAUACAAAGAGAAGCGACCUCGCGAGAGCAAGCGGACCUCAUAAAGUGCGUCGUAGUCCGGAUUGGAGUCUGCAACUCGACUCCAUGAAGUCGGAAUCGCUAGUAAUCGUGGAUCAGAAUGCCACGGUGAAUACGUUCCCGGGCCUUGUACACACCGCCCGUCACACCAUGGGAGUGGGUUGCAAAAGAAGUAGGUAGCUUAACCUUCGGGAGGGCGCUUACCACUUUGUGAUUCAUGACUGGGGUGAAGUCGUAACAAGGUAACCGUAGGGGAACCUGCGGUUGGAUCACCUCCUUA